GAUGAACGCUGGCGGCGUGCCUAACACAUGCAAGUCGAGCGAAGCGGGGACGGGUGAGUAACACGUGGAUAACCUUCUAUAAGACUGGGAUAAACUAGGGAAACCGGAGCUAAUCCGGCUACUCAUAGCUGGAUCCGCGCUGCAUUAGCUAGUUGGUAAGGUAACGUCUUACCAAGGCAACGAUGCAUAGCCGACCUGAGAGGGUGAGCGGCCACACGGGAACUGAGACACGGUCCAGACUCCUACGGGAGGCAGCAGUAGGGAAUCUUGCGCAAUGGGCGAAAGCCUGACGGAGCAACGCCGCGUGAGUGAUGAAGGUCUUCGGAUCGUAAAACUCUGUUAGUAGGGAAGCGGUACCUAAACAGAAAGCCACGGCUAACUACGUGCCAGCAGCCGCGGUAAUAC
rnacentral:rRNA from 1 species